rnacentral:rRNA from 1 species
AAACGGAGGAAAAGAAACCAACAGGGAUUGCCCUAGUAACGGCGAGUGAAGCGGCAACAGCUCAAAUUUGAAAGCUGGCUCCGGCCCGCAUUGUAAUUUGCAGAGGAUGCUUCUGGUGAGGUGCCUUCCGAGUUCCCUGGAACGGGACGCCAUAGAGGGUGAGAGCCCCGUAUGGAUGGACACCAAACCUGUGUGAAGCUCCUUCAACGAGUCGAGUAGUUUGGGAAUGCUGCUCUAAAUGGGAGGUAAAUCUCUUCUAAAGCUAAAUACCGGCCAGAGACCGAUAGCGCACAAGUAGAGUGAUCGAAAGAUGAAAAGCACCUUGAAAAGGGGGUUAAACAGUACGUGAAAUUGUUGAAAGGGAAGCGCUUGUGACCAGACUUGCGCCGGGCAGCUCAUCAGGGGUUCUCCCCUGUGCACUCUGCCCGGCUCAGGCCAGCAUCGGUUCUCGUGGGAGGAUAAGAACGGUAGGAACGUGGCCCCCUUCCGGGGGGGUGUUAUAGCCUACCGUACGAUACUCCCGUGGGGACCGAGGUUCGCGCUCCGCAAGGAUGCUGGCGUAAUGGUCAUCAGCGACCCGUCUGAAAA